rnacentral:rRNA from 1 species
GCAUAUCAAUAAGCGGAGGAAAAGAAACCAACAGGGAUUGCCUCAGUAACGGCGAGUGAAGCGGCAACAGCUCAAAUUUGAAAUCUGGCUCUUUCAGGGUCCGAGUUGUAAUUUGUAGAAGAUGCUUCGGGUGUGGCUCCGGUCUAAGUUCCUUGGAACAGGACGUCAUAGAGGGUGAGAAUCCCGUAUGUGACUGGUUGCCUUCGCCCAUGUGAAGCUCUUUCGACGAGUCGAGUUGUUUGGGAAUGCAGCUCAAAAUGGGUGGUAAAUUUCAUCUAAAGCUAAAUAUUGGCCAGAGACCGAUAGCGCACAAGUAGAGUGAUCGAAAGAUGAAAAGCACUUUGGAAAGAGAGUUAAACAGUACGUGAAAUUGUUGAAAGGGAAGCGCUUGCAACCAGACUUGCGUGCGGUCGAUCAUCCGGUGUUCUCACCGGUGCACUCGAUCGUAUUCAGGCCAGCAUCGGUUUCGGUGGUUGGAUAAAGGCCUUGGGAAUGUAGCUUCUUUCGGGGAGUGUUAUAGCCCAAGGUGCAAUGCAGCCUACCGGGACCGAGGACCGCGCUUCGGCUAGGAUGCUGGCGUAAUGGUUGUAAGCGACCCGUCUUGAAACACGGACCAAGGAGUCUAACAUCUAUGCGAGUGUUUGGGUGUCAAACCCAUACGCGUAAUGAAAGUGAACGGAGGUGAGAACCCUUAAGGGUGCAUCAUCGACCGAUCCUGAUGUCUUCGGAUGGAUUUGAGUAAGAGCAUAGCUGUUGGGACCCGAAAGAUGGUGAACUAUGCCUGAAUAGGGUGAAGCCAGAGGAAACUCUGGUGGAGGCUCGCAGCGGUUCUGACGUGCAAAUCGAUCGUCAAAUUUGGGUAUAGGGGCGAAAGACUAAUCGAACCAUCUAGUAGCUGGUUCCUGCCGA